UAUUUGUCAUGAUCUAUAAUCGUUGGAAUGGGAUCCUUGUUCCAGAAUCUGGAUACAUGCGGUUAGAAUUGAUCUCAAUGUUGGUGGGAUUCUUCACAUACAAGAUUGCAACUUUCUUUCAAGCUAUAGAUGACGCAGUUACUGUUGUUGGGGAAAAACUAAGGUCUACUAUUAAAAACGAUUGAAGUAUAGGGCUUAGUAUUCUUUAUCACUGUUCAUUGGAAAAUGCUUUGGAGAAGAUGACUAUAAUGCUUGUUCUUGUACAAGUUCUGUAAAAUGCUGUUCUUUUCC